AGCUUUGUGAUCACUCGCUGUGUGCCAAGCACCGUUCAGUGAAGUGGUGGUGUAUGGAUGAAUGAACUUUCCUCAGCUCCAAGAAAGUAGGCAAUCUACUCAAGGGAAAUGAAGGCCCUAAUGUGUGGCACAACCUGAAACCCAGAGAGGAACUUCUCCAAGGAGCCGGCAGACUGCGCCUGUACUUGAGGAAACACUCAAACAAAAUCAGCCACACCCCAAUAGUCAGUCAGUUAAAAGCAAGAAACUUCUAAAGGGUACGAUGAAAUGACCAUCAGAUAUGAUAAAGGGAUACCACAUGAUUUUAUAAAGAAGCAGAGAGUCCAUCUGAAUGCCGAGUCCAAUAUUGAAUGUGUGAAAGAGCAUGCAUAUUCCUGCUGCAUAUGGAUCUAUCUCCUGGCUGUGUGCCUUCCUACAUCUCCAUGUGAAAUGCUCCCUUUGGCUCAUGUCUGAACUCUUCUGUAGACCUGGCUGUACUGUUUUGGAAGGUGAAAGCUUUAAGAGUCUCAAUGGAAGAAGAGGGUCACUGCAGAUGGGCCUUAAGGCUUGAAUCGAUCCUACUCCCUGGGCACCAUUGGCUUCCUGACCUUGGAAUUGAUGUGAUAAAGUACCUCACCAGAAGCUACCUGCUCGAUGCCUUACCUCCAUGCAGCCUGCAUCCGUUCAGACUUUAAACCAAAUAAACCUUUCUUUCCUUAAGUUGC
rnacentral:lncRNA from 1 species